AGUUUGAUCCUGGCUCAGGAUGAACGCUAGCUACAGGCUGAACACAUGCAAGUCGAGGGGCAGCAUUGGAGUAGCAAUACUUCAGAUGGCGACCGGCGCACGGGUGAGUAACACGUAUCCAACCUGCCGCUUACUCGGGGAUAGCCUUUCGAAAGAAAGAUUAAUACCCGAUGGUAUAAAGAGUUCGCAUGUUCUCUUUAUUAAAGAAUUUCGGUAAGCGAUGGGGAUGCGUUCCAUUAGAUUGUUGGCGGGGUAACGGCCCACCAAGUCUACGAUGGAUAGGGGUUCUGAGAGGAAGGUCCCCCACAUUGGAACUGAGACACGGUCCAAAUCCUACGGGAGGCAGCAGUGAGGAAUAUUGGUCAAUGGGCGAGAGCCUGAACCAGCCAAGUAGCGUGAAGGAUGACUGCCCUAUGGGUUGUAAACUUCUUUUAUAAGGGAAUAAAGUGAGGGACGUGUCCCUUUUUGUAUGUACCUUAUGAAUAAGGAUCGGCUAACUCCGUGCCAGCAGCCGCGGUAAUACGGAGGAUCCAAGCGUUAUCCGGAUUUAUUGGGUUUAAAGGGAGCGUAGGUUGACAUAUAAGUCAGCUGUGAAAGUUUACGGCUCAACCGUGAAAUUGCAGUUGAUACUGUAUGUCUUGAGUGUACAAGAGGUGGGCGGAAUUCGUGGUGUAGCGGUGAAAUGCUUAGAUAUCACGAAGAACUCCAAUUGCGAAGGCAGCUCACUAGGGUACAACUGACACUGAGGCUCGAAAGUGUGGGUAUCAAACAGGAUUAGAUACCCUGGUAGUCCACACAGUAAACGAUGAAUACUCGCUGUUUGCGAUAUACAGUAAGCGGCCAAGCGAAAGCAUUAAGUAUUCCACCUGGGGAGUACGCCGGCAACGGUGAAACUCAAAGGAAUUGACGGGGGCCCGCACAAGCGGAGGAACAUGUGGUUUAAUUCGAUGAUACGCGAGGAACCUUACCCGGGCUUGAAUUGCAGAGGAACAUAGUUGAAAGAUUAUGGCCGCAAGGUCUCUGUGAAGGUGCUGCAUGGUUGUCGUCAGCUCGUGCCGCGAGGUGUCGGCUUAAGUGCCAUAACGAGCGCAACCCUUAUCAUUAGUUACUAACAGGUGAUGCUGAGGACUCUAGUGAGACUGCCGUCGUAAGAUGUGANGAA
rnacentral:rRNA from 1 species